rnacentral:misc_RNA from 1 species
UGUCCUUGACUUGGUAAAGUUUCUCAUCUAUAAGCUAAUGGAUUUGUUAAUUUUCUGAUCAAUGAUAAGUUUGGCAUUCUUCUUUUUUCUUGUGUUCUUUAUUACUUUCUUCUGAUUUUAUUUUUCUCCUCAAGCUUUAAGGGUAUUUCUCAAAUUUACGAGUGUACAUGUACUGGGAAAUACUACCUGCUUAAAUUUUAAGCUAUCUUCAAAUUGACCAGCUUUAAGGUGGCUUUAUGCUGCCAAGAUUGUGUAUUAAUCACAUGUUAAUUCUGCAUUAGUGAACUGAAACUGAUGGUACAACUUCUACUGCCUUCCGGUUCAAUAUUUUGUGCCCUUUACUUCUCAGUGUCAGGUUGAAAUUAAGGUCAUGAUGAAUGAAAGAUAUUUAACGUCUGGUUUGGCGUUGUAUCUCUCAAAUGCCAUUGAUGAUUGUUUUUUUUUCAAGUUGAGGAUUUUUGUUCAUAUCUGGUUUCUUUUAUGCAGGAAAAUCCUGAUCUUUGGAAGUG